rnacentral:tRNA from 1 species
GGAGGCAUACCCAAGUGGUUAAAGGGGGCGGAUUCGAAAUCCAGUAGGUCGGCUUCUCCGGCGCAAGAGUUCGAAUUUCUUCACCUUCGCCA